rnacentral:tRNA from 1 species
GGUGUAGCCAAGCGGUUAAGGCAUCGGAUUUUGAUUCCGACACUCGUAAGUUCAAAUCUUGCCAC